UAAUUGGGGCGAGCCCCACAGUUUGGUGGCUCAUCGAGCUCAAGCGCAAUGCAUUAUGGUGCGUUCGUACGUACACGGAACUUUUCCUACAGUGAUUUAAAUCCUACUGGCUUUUCGCCUCGCACCGGCUAUUUUGAGAACUUUCAGUCUUUAUACAGUGAUUUACAGUAAAUUUUACGGGCCUUUCGCCUCUCACCGGCUGACAAUUUUUCAUGCGACAUGCGAUGAAAUAUAUUCUUCAUGCCAAAUAACAAAUGGAAAUUGGAAUGGUCAGUAUUAUUUACAGUGGACAGUAUUAUUAAGCCCAUCGCAUUUUACUUUAAUACUCGAGUGAGUUGCGG